CACUAAAGUGAUGAGAAUAUUGUUGUUAUUUAUCUAUGUGUGUUUUGUAACUUGCUGUGUACACUCUACACUUUUGUUAAUUUUUUUUUCUACAAUCCUACAGGUUAAGUCAUCUUAAAAUGAAUGGCCCAUGGAAGAUCAUUAUAACCAAGGUUGUCAGAGUCCACCAUCACCAAACAGCCAGCCAGUACGGAAACUGUGAUGGGUCAAGAUGACAGUGAUGAGAAGAUCGAAGAGGAACUGAAGAGGAAGUUCAUAAGGGACAUUGGUGUAGCAUGGUGCUGGGUUCAGAGCCACUGUGAGCUGUUCCAUGGAGAGGUGACAGAGCC